UUAAUAAUAAAAUCUGCUCAAUGAUAAUUAAAUAGCCGCAAUUCGUGCUAAGGUAGCAUAAUCAUUUGUUUCUUAAAUAGAAACUAGAACAAAAGAUUUAACAUUUUAAUCUUUAUAUAAAUUUUAAUAAUAUAAAUUUUCCUAAAUGUAAAAAGACACUUAUUUUUUAGAAAGACGACAAGACCCUAUUGAACUUAACUUAAGUUUUACUGGGGUAGUAAAUCAAUUAUAAGUUUAAUAAAAAUUAAUAAACAAAAAUCUAUAAAAAUAAUUUUACUCAGUUACCAUAGGGAUAACAGCGUAAUUAUAUUUAUAAGACCUCAUUUAAAAUAUAGAUUACGACCUCGAUGUUGAAUUAAUUACCUAAUUAAAGCAAACUAUAUUAAAGGAAGUCUGUUCGACUUUUAAAAAAUUACAUGAUUUGAGUUCAGACCGGUAUAAGCCAGGUCGGUUUCCAUCUUCUAUAAAAUUCUUUAUAGUACGAAAGGGCCUAAAGAUAUAAUUAAAUUAAUUAAUUGGCAGAUUAAUGCAUUAGAAUUAGAAUCUAAUAAAACUUA
rnacentral:rRNA from 1 species